CGGGGGAGGCCGGAUCCUGGGCUGUGUCCCGGCGCCCUGUGCUCCGGGGCCUGCGCUGUUGGAUUCGCGCUCCCGGGCCGCGCAGCCCCCU
rfam:Canis lupus familiaris chromosome 1, whole genome shotgun sequence.